ACACACGCGCACGCACACACACGCACGCGCACACACACACACGCGCGCACAGAGAUUAUAAAACUAUCAAAACACUCAAAAUCAAUUAUACAUAUGAUUUUUAUGACAUGACAUUUGUAAACUUCCCUGAGAUUGACACAUACACACACACACACACACACACACACAAACACACACACACACACACACACACACACACACACACACACACACACACACACACACACA